AUUGAACGCUGGCGGCAUGCUUUGCACAUGCAAGUCGAACGGUAACAGGCCGCAAGGUGCUGACGAGUGGCGAACGGGUGAGUAAUGCAUCGGAACGUGCCCAGUCGUGGGGGAUAACUACUCGAAAGAGUAGCUAAUACUGCAUACGAUCUAUGGAUGAAAGCGGGGGACCGUAAGGCCUCGCGCGAUUGGAGCGGCCGAUGUCAGAUUAGGUAGUUGGUGGGGUAAAGGCUCACCAAGCCAACGAUCUGUAGCUGGUCUGAGAGGACGACCAGCCACACUGGGACUGAGACACGGCCCAGACUCCUACGGGAGGCAGCAGUGGGGAAUUUUGGACAAAGGGCGCAAGCCUGAUCCAGCAAUGCCGCGUGCAGGAAGAAGGCCUUCGGGUUGUAAACUGCUUUUGUACGGAACGAAACGGCUCUGGUUAAUACCCGGGGCUAAUGACGGUACCGUAAGAAUAAGCACCGGCUAACUACGUG
rnacentral:rRNA from 1 species